GAUGAAGAACGCAGCGAAAUGCGAUAACUAAUGUGAAUUGCAGAAUUCAGUGAAUCAUCGAGUCUUUGAACGCACAUUGCGCCCCUUGGUAUUCCAUGGGGCAUGCCUGUUCGAGCGUCAUUUGUACCUUCAAGCUCUGCUUGGUGUUGGGUGAUUGUCUAUCUUUGUAGACUCGCCUUAAAGUCAUUGGCAGCCGGCAUAUUGGCCUGGGAGCGCAGCACAAGUCGCGCUUCUUGUCAUGAAUGUUGGCGUCCAGUAAGUCUACAUAUUUUGCUCUUGACCUCGGAUCAGGUAGGGAUACCCGCUGAACUUAAGCAUAUCAAUAAGCGGAGGA
rnacentral:misc_RNA from 1 species